ACGGAAGGCAGCAGUGGGGAAUAUUGGACAAUGGGGGAAACCCUGAUCCAGCGACGCCGCGUGAGUGAAGAAGUAUUUCGGUAUGUAAAGCUCUAUCAGCAAGGAAGAAAAUGACGGUACCUGACUAAGAAGCACCGGCUAAAUACGUGCCAGCAGCCGCGGUAAUACGUAUGGUGCAAGCGUUAUUCGGAUUUACUGGGUGUAAAGGGAGCGUAGACGGCAUAGCAAGUCUGAAGUGAAAUGCGGGGGCUCAACCCCUGAACUGCUUUGGAAACUGUUAAGCUAGAGUGUCGGAGAGGUAAGUGGAAUUCCUAGUGUAGCGGUGAAAUGCGUAGAUAUUAGGAGGAACACCAGUGGCGAAGGCGGCUUACUGGACGAUAACUGACGUUGAGGCUCGAAAGCGUGGGGAGCAAACAGGAUUAGAUACCCUGGUA
rnacentral:rRNA from 1 species